ensembl:lncRNA
AGAUGGCAUUGAGCAUUUAUGAAAGAAUGUUGCUCAUCAUUACUUGCUGAAUGUGUGACAGAGCUGGAGGGAGGAAGAACAACUGAGAUCUGAUUCUUACCCCUAGGCCUGUUCCUCUCCUUCCAUGCUUGUGGAUUGAAGCCCUUUUCUGAGCAGCAUCCUGCCAGCAAGGCCGUACCAACUUCCAUUUCUGUGUCCAGGACUCAUCUAGAUUCAGGUGCUUUUCUAUGGUAGAAGAUCGGGGUCUUCCUCUUUGACCCCCUUUGGUCUGGCUUAAUUGUGGGCGCUGAACCCCCCUCCCCAGAGCCAUGCUGUGAGCAUCAGGAUUGUGCCAACAGUGCCUUGGGGCAGCGGCAGAGAGACAGUGUGCAGAAGAGGGAGGCUGAGAUUAGCCUGGUGCUUUUUGCAUGGUAUCACACGCUCUGGCAGAGUGAGGCACAAACAUUUCUGGAAGAGAAAUCAAAAUUUUGGGCUUGUAGACGUAUAGGCCAGAAUUCACUGUACAGCUGUUUUGGUGAUGCCAAAAGGAAAAUAAGAGUUCUGGAUCCUUCAGUUUAUUAUCUGGCAAAGUCUGAAAUUCAGGGCACGUAAUGGUCAAAGUGCAAAAGAUGCACAGAAAAGAAAUUGAAGAAGAAUCAAGAAGUACGUGCAAAACCAUCCUUCCUCUAUCCAUGUCAUAUCAGCAAGCCUUUGAGUUCAUGCCUUCCCAUUUGUUGGGGCUAUUCCCUCCACAAUUUCUUUAGCUCCUUAGUCUUGUCUUCAGGCUCACAUCUCUUCCAAAAGCACCGCUGUUGAAAACAGGAGAGGCCCAGCUGUACGUGUUAAAUGGCCUUCUUGCUUGGCUUCCAAUCCACUAUGCAUGAUUUACUGCUUGUAUAGCAACCUGCAGUCCAAAUCAGGAGCAUCUUUUCCAGAUGAUCCUAGGCUGAAACAAACCCAUUUUCUUUGUGGUGAUUCCAUCUGGACAGACAACUGUUCAGAAUAGUAAUUCUGAAUCAUUAUCAGCCCAAAAUAUCGCUCUCUAAUGCAGAGAUCAAAAGGCAAGCAAGUGACAGUAAAAAAUGAAAUGAAUAUUCAGAUAACAAAACGUGGGUGUGUUUUUUCUCAGCUUUAAAGGAAGCUUUUCAAGGAAGUUAAAUCAGCUCAGAUUCCAGAUCAUGUUGAAUUCUGUGGGUUUUUCAUGUGGCUAUGCAGUAUAUGCUGAAGCAUGUAUGUGUGUGGCAAUGGACUCCUUUAGUUGCCUGUGCUGCCUUGGUUAAGAAUGGAACUAGUCACAAUAAUUAAUUAGUCAGCAUCACAACAAUUAUGUGCUUGAAGAAAUAUUUCUAAGCACAUUUCAUCUGCUAAUAAUUAAAAAACAUACAGGAUGUUUUUAGUAGAAGUUAUUAUAAUGGGUUAUAAUAAGAACAGAUGUUGUUUAAUGAACAUACUGUGCUUUAAUGUUUGAAAAGCAAAGACAUGCAGCAUUUAUUUGUAUGUGAAUGGUUUUUUUAAGCUAUCUCCAUUGGGAACUGAGGGAAUUGAUGACAUUCUUACUAUUAGCAUGAGUAAGUUUCACUUGGGUGAGAUGCACUCUUUGGGGUUUCUGAAGUGUUAUUUCAUUUUGCAGUAACAGAGGCUGAUUUUUAUUUAUUAAUUUCAACUCUGAAACAUCAAAACAUUCUUGAUCUCCUCUGUUCCAAGUUUUUAAGAGUGUGCCAAUCCACAGCAACUGCUGCCAUGGCAAGAUGUCACUGAAUUGAACACGACCGUAAAUAAAAUUAAGAGCAU